CCAUAUUUGGCGAAGACUAUACUUAAAAAUGUGGCCGAUAAUUUUAAUCUUGCCCUCGAAGUUGCAAACCCUGCAUCAAAGGAUGACAUAACUAAAUGGGGUUGCAAGGCUCCCAAAGUUCCAACAAAUCUAGACGAUGCUCUGUCGGGUUAUUUGGUUUUUGAGUUCAUGCAUUCAUGGUACGAUGGAUUGCUACAUUUUCCAGUACCCACGGACGGUUUUCAACUAAGGAAGCGAU